UUAGAAUCUGAUUUUGACGAUUACAUUAAACAAAAAUUAAUUACAGAGAACAUUUCUCUUUGACACCGUCUGAUGUGACAGAAACUCCAAAAGCUGCAUCUUUCAGUUUGGUAGCCGUAAAGAGCCGAAAUUUAUACGAGAAAACUUGCUUAGAAUUCAUAUAGGGAGAAGAAUGUUUCGCACUAUUCUGAGUCAGUAUUGUUGGCUUACUUACAAGCAUUGAAUAUCGAAAAAAAAGAAAGUACUUGAAAAAGAACAUAAAGAUUAUAGCGAAUGUUCCGGAUAAAAUAUUGACGAAGCAAUGUUGGUUUUUUGGAGUAGCGGUUGCAUUGAGGAAAGAUGAAUUGUAUAGAUUGCAGAAAAAUGAUGUCCAAGAUAUGGGAUCAAAAUUUUUGGUGUCAGUGAAUUCAACCAAAACACAACCUCAAACAGGAUAGGUAUUCACUGUGGUGGAUAAUGGUCAUGCACUGCAGAAAAGUUAGAAAGCAUUACCUCAUUUGUGACUUUCAAACCUGACAAAUAUUUAACAUUAGAAAUGUUUUUCACCUAAAGAAGUAAAGAAACCACUUACCUCAAUGAAGAUUCUGCAGAUGAAACAGGUAUUGCAUUCUUGAGA